rnacentral:lncRNA from 1 species
CCCCCCCCGUCGCCAAAAAAAUUUCGGUCAGUGUACCAUUUUAGGGGUCAAAAAUUUUUUCCGGACAUACCAAUUUUUCCGGACACACUCAAUUUUUCCGAAACCUAACAAAAUUUUUCAAAAAUCACAAAAUUUUCCACAAAUUUUACAGAAUUUUUCCAUUAUUACAAUUUGUUUCCAGGCCCUUUCUCUAAAUUUUUCAUACCCAAUUUCCGAGUGGGGGGGCACUGCCACACCGAGUGAGGGGGCAUUGCCCCCCCAGGCCCCCCCCCCCAGCUACGGG